ACAGAAAUCAGUACCAUGGACAGACAGCAUAUUUAGCUUACGUUGAAUGGAAUUAAAAAGGACCAAAAUGGAAGUAAGAGGACCAGAAAGGAAAAGAAACAUACACCCCCCCCCAUCUGUCAGCACGUACCAGCUAAGAAGAGGAAGGUGUUCGACUAUGGCAAGCAGAAGGCUGAGGGAACAGAGAUCUACAUUACCAAACUGGACAGGCUCCCAGAGGCAGGUUAUGGCCCCAGCUCACUCGACUGCCCCUCCCCUCUCCAACAGCCAUCAGCCCAGGGCAGCAUGAAGACAGGCCCCCAGAGGCAGAGCCAUAAAAGGCCCCUGCUCACUCGACUGCCCCUCCCCUCUCCAUCAGCCCAGAGCAGCAUGAAGACAGGACAGCUAAACGAUCAUCUGGGAAUCCUCCCUUCCUCAUGGAGCUUUUUGAAGGUGAGAUGUACCCAGAAAUGUCAACGUCUUGUCAAGUGCUCAAAUCUGUACAGCAGCCCCACCUUACAAGAAUGGGUUUACACGGCCGUGAUGAAAACAGUUUAUAUGAGCGCUAAUUCAAACAUACAAUGCUAUAUAUUUGAUAGAAUUACCCAUUCAAAACUGUUACAAAAUCACUUCUCAUUGUGUUCAUUUCAAGGUUUCACAAACAUAAAACAUCUAUCUAGUUAAUGUUUCUUGGACCAACACACGGUGGAGUUUCCUAUUUACUAAAGAACAAUCAUUAAGACAAAACACAAAGAGUUGCAAUAUAAUCUGUAUACGUGUCAUUCUAUACUGAACAGGUACAUUCUGAAAGAUGUUGACUUUACUUAAAUUGUAUUAUUUAUGUUGUCUCAUACCAUGCCAAUACAUGACCAAGCAAUGCAACAGAUGAGGAAUUAACCCC